CGAUUGGCAGCAGGCGGGUGACGUGCGCGCGCCCGGCGGAUUCUGAGGGGGCGCGGGCGGCCGCGGGGACUGACGGGUAGCGAGGCCCGCCUCGGAAUCUCGAUGCUGAAGAGGGCCCUUGAGGUGGGCCUUUUACAUCUGUAGACGCUGGAGGCCCGCAGAAAGGAUACUGUGUCGGAGAAGGUAAAGCACAAGAGAGUGCUUUGUAACUGGAAAGUGCCUUUCAAAAAAGUUAAAAUACUUUCGCUAAACUAGGAACUGCCUACAGCUCUGCCCCUUGGCCAUUUGGUACAAUCCUGCUCCGAGACCUUGAGGAGCUUACUUUUGGUUUGGUGGAAGGACCCUGGAGCUUGUUGAUCCUGAAAAUGUUCAUCUCAGACGUCCUUGUCCUUGAGACUGUUCUGUUGAGAUGGCUGAGGUAGGGGUGGGUUGAGGGAGUGGGGCCAUUAGGGGAAGACAAGUUGAGAGAAGGCCAGUAAAUAUUUGUUUCUUAAUUAGAGGCUUUGUUGUCUUGACAAGAGCGAAACAAGCUGUGUUCAAUGAGAUUCUUAAGGUAUCUAAGAAGUUUUUCUUUAUAGGAACAAAAAAUACAUACCUCAGUUAAAAGACAGAACAUAGUAAAAUGCUCAAGUGCCAAAUGUAUAAAUUGAUGUGACCCAACACCCAGAUCCACAUAUACAGAAUACCAGACACCCCAUAGAGCUUCUUUAUGUCACUGCUAACCACAUCUUCUUACCACCACCACUAUUCUGUCUUGCUUUGCAUGUUCUUGAAUAUCAUAUAAAAGGAAUUAUACUGCAUGUAGUUGUUUUUCUGUGACUGGCUUCCCUUGAGCAGUGGAUACCUGGUUUGCUAUUUCUAAGUAGAAGAAAUGGGAUGAGCAGAAGUCUAUAUGGAUGAAACAUUUUUCUUGUCUUUCAUCUUUUUUGUCUUAAAAUUUAAAGAUGUGGAGGCAUACAUUAGCUAUUUCUGAUGCAUUAAAUGAGCUAUGCUAAUGUAUGAAAGGCGAUAGUUCCUAACCCCACCAAUUAAAAAAAUCUUUAUUGUGCACUUUGGGAAUAUUUUCUUACCUUCCCUUUACUUUAAAUUUUAAAUCCUGUUUUAUUUUAAUUUGCAUUUCAUUUCCACAAUCCUGCCUUCUUGGCAAUACAUGAAACAGAGAAGCUGAAGGUAAUAUUGUUCUAAACAGAAGUGGCAGGCUUAUCUGACCACCUUCUGAUGUAGUGUCCAACAAAAUCUGGUUUUAUUAUAAGUGUUUAUUUCUUGUGUUUAGACCCCAUCUUUAAAAGACAAAAUUAUGGUCAGAAAAGGCAAGACAAAAUAAUAUGUGGAUAAGUUUAAAGAAGUUAUUUAGUGUUAAGAUCUUGAGUGAGGAUUGGUAAUCCUCUGCCUGCUUUAUGUCCUAGCUAGGCCCAGAUCUCUAAUUUCUUUACAUGCUUUCCUUUUAUAAACUCAUCUAGUCCAUGAAUUCAAAUAUGAUCAAUAAGUCAAUGUAUCCCAAAUCUCUGUUUCCAGCCCAGAUGUCUCUAGUACUAAUCCCAAAUGCCUCCUGGACAUCUCUGGGCAUCUUUGCCCAUUUUUCUAUUGCUAUACUCAUCUUUUUCAUUGAUUUAUGUUUUCUGGCUAAUAAUACAUUGUUGGUUAUAUUAUUGCCUCUCAUCUUCCAGUCUGUGCCUUUUCUUUGGCCUUUGUUUGUGGUGUCUUUUCUUACACUGAAAUUUUCUUUGAAUGUAGUCACAUUUAUUCAUCUUUUCCUUUAUAUUUUGUGCUUUGGGUGUCUGGUUUAAGAAAUCCUCUCCUACUUCAGAAUCACAAAGAUAUUCAUUUAUCUUUUUGCCAAAAGUUUUAAACUUUUAUUCUUGUUUUAUUCUUUUUUUAAUCAACCUAUUUUUGUGAAUGAGGUAGAGAUCUAAUUUAUUUUAUUUAUUUUAUAUAUGAACAACUAAUUGUUCUAGCAGCAUUUAUUGAAUAGUAUAACUUUUCUUUUAUGGUUUGUAAUGUCAUUGAUUUCAAAUCAGUUUUCCACAAAUCCAUGGAUUGUUUAUUAUUUUCCAUUGGUCAAUUUGUAUGACCUCUAUAACAUAACCACACUAUCAUAAUUGCUGCUGUUUUAUAAUAAGUGUUAAUAGCCAGUAGGGUAUUAACAAUAGUUAAUAUUCACCUAUUUUCUUCAGAAUUUUCUAGGGAAUGACAGGCCCUUUCCUACUAUAUAUGAAUUUCAGCAUCAUUUUGUUAAGUUCUAUGAAAAACUUGAGUGUUAAUUGAAAAUUCAUUAGGGCCUCAGUUUCUUCUCUGUAAUAUGCUGAUAGUAAUGGUUGUUAUGACCAUAUGUAAUUAAUUUUUUUAGUGUGCUUAAUGAAUGGUUAUUAUCAGCAGUAUCGUCUUCAUCGUUAUCAAUGAAUGAGCAUUUCCUCUGGCUUUGAGAUCUUAAAUUCAGAAAUCCUAUCUUCUAACCACAACCUCAUUUAUUUGUUUAUACAUCGUCCAGUCCUUUACUCCCACUAACCUUAUUUUUUGACUUCUUCAAGAUAUUUAGUGUUGAAACCAUCUCUAUUUUUCUAGUGUGUCAGUCCAAUCCUGGCUUUAUUUUUUCCCAUUCCUCACAAAAGUUGCUCUAAAUCUUCACCAUUCUAUAUUAUUUACUUAUUAAUAAGCCUUCAAAUUGAUACUAUCAGGCUUGUUUUGGGCUCAGGUGACCUUGAUUUUUAGUUACUAGAGAAUCUUUCUUCCCCAUCAUCUCUAAAUGUGACUAUAAUUCCUCCUGUACUUAGUGUCUGCCCUGUCCUUUAAAUUUAACUCCUCCCUGUGUUCUAGAACUCUUCCUCCAAGACCUUGCAUCAGUUACCUUCUCUCAGAUUUUCAUUUUCUUUCUCUCUACUGGCCCUACAAACUGUUGAUUUCCAGGCUUUCACAUUUCACCAACCAGUAAAUUUUUUAAUUGAGGAAAUUAACAUGGGUUUGCCAACUUGAUUUUGUCAAGAAAAGAUAUUUAAAAGCAGUAUAACAACAAAAAAUGACUACCGUCUGCUACUGGAAUGCAAUAUAGCAUAAUAGUUAAGACCACAAGACUCUGGAGUUAGACUGUUUAGACUAGAAUUCUG